UACAAGGCAGCUGUGUUAACAGCGUGAAAUGGGGAAAAAAGGCCGGCCAUAUUCAUUACCAACGCAAAUGCUUUCGACAAAAGGCGCAAUUGUCAUAAUCUUGUUCGGCAAAGUUGUACGGAACAAAGCAUACGGGGUAGUCUUACAACGCAUUCUUUUGUAUUUUUUAUCGUAAACCGAUCUCGCUUUGUGGCACGCGGCCACAUGCAAUGUUUGCUUGCAAACCAAACCGGCCAGUUCUACAGCCCACGAACCUGUGGGACCGCAAUGAUGAAAAACUCCUCCACAGCCAAUCAACAACACACAACCACCGACGACGACCAACGCAGACGCAAAACUGGGAGCAACCGCGGGGAGCCAUUGGCAGCGUCUUCAAGCGCGGAGGGCGAUGGACGUCGUCUAAAUCCACGCCUCACCUGUGCCGACACCGCCGGCGCCUCCUCCUGCCACACCGGAGUGGAGCGCCACCUUCUCCAGCCGAGCGGUCACCUUCUCCAGCCGAUUCACAAGUCCGUCCAGCUGCGCCAUCCUGCCACGGAGCCGCCUACUGUGGAUAGGAAGGAAACGGCGCGAUGAUCUUCCAUCCAGAGGAAUUUCGUCUCAACGGAUUGUCACCUGAUAAUGCAGUCGAUGUGUCUACAGGUAUAAGGAGGUGCAUGUAUUCAAUACAUGAAUAUAAGCUAUACCUCAGUGUUCUCAUAAUGUCCAUGCUCAUAUGAAUAGUUGGUUCACUGGUAUCGGAACAUAAAGAGAAAGGAAGGCAGUUGGCUCUUCCAUUAUUUAUACAAAGGAACAAGCCACGUGCUAUGCCGUCUCGUGAAUAGCAAUUGGUCGAAUAAUCCAUUGCAGGACCCUCCUGAAAAAAACAGUCUUGAGACUCGUUGUGGCUUUCCUCGAUCGUCAUCAUCAUCAUCAUCAACAGAGGUGACCAAUCCACUUUUUGGAUAAAGGCCUCGGUCUUGUGAAGCAUCGAUCCAUUUGGAACAUGCAAAUGAGCAGAUUUUACCACUUAAUUUCCACGCUGGAUGUCUUCUCGGAUGCAUUUCCCUCCUUCGGCUGCCACUCCAUCAUGAGUCUUGACCACCGGCGAUCGUCCGUACUAGCAGCGUGUCUUACUCAAGCCCACUUACAUGUAUUUUGUAACUGUCAAUAUGACUACAUCAAUGUGUCCCUCCCGUAAUUCCAAAUAUGUACAUCUGCAUGCUUCUUUCCGUACGCUGACAAAGAUAAUGGAAUAAAAUAUUUGAACAGUACGCCAAAAACAGCAUGGAGGAGUGUAUACUUCGCACGAGCUGUCCUGAGCCGGUGAUGGAAAUUCCACAUUGCUACGGCAGAGACCAGUUUACCCAAAUGUUGAAAUUCACCCACGUGAAGACUAUUUUUCGACAUUUUUGGGGAAUGUGGACUGAAUUGUUUAAUGGCCUCCAAAAUAAGACCACAUUUACUCCAUUGGCCAACUGAACUUCCUGAUUGAAUGCAUCGCAGGAUAAUUUUGGGUCAAAGUUAAUUUCCUCGUUCUAAAUGUGCAUCUGACAGGAAACCAGAGUGCUCACAGAACAAACCACGCAUGAGACGGAAGAGCAUUGACCACACUUACACGCACAGCCAGUUCGUUCUACAGCUCAUGCUAACUGCCAUUUCCCCUCCCCAAAAUAUUAAAGUCCUAUUUCAGGUCUAAACGUUCUGGAAAGAGCCCCGGAUAGAUGUUUGGUGCUGUGUGAAGUACCGGUAUGACAUAUGCCCCCGUUUCACGGGCCGUGUCGCGACAGCUCUGUCAGUCCACUGCUGGAUGAGGGCCUCCCCACACCACAUGGGCAGUGGGCGGUUAUUUGAUCAUACUUCCCAUGGUGGUCGGUGUGGAUUGAAGGUGGGGAACUCGCUACUGCGACCAUUGUCCCAAACAUCGAUCAUUAUAUCUCUAUUUCAUUUAAAGGCAGUGUUAUUAACGAAUGUGUUGAGUUUUCUCGUUACAUUCCGGAAGCUUUACAGACGUGAUCUCAGCGCGAUCCAUCAACCCUGUCUGGGGCCGGGUCCCGGGCUAAAAGGCAUUAUCCACCAUGCCAGAAACAAGCCGACGCUUAGUUACCUGAACGUGGAUUGAGUCUCCCUUAGGUAGACUCUGCCGAAAAUGAGUAGCACAUGGUGUCAGCAUUGGUUAUCAUUACCAAUCCUGGGAAAACAAAGGCGGUGGGGUGUGGAUGUUGUGGGCCACACCACCUCUUGUAACGUGAUGGCCUGAACAGAGGUUCACCGGCUAAACUUUACAAACAACAAUAACAUUAAUGUCAUCGUUUUACCCAGGAAAGCCUCGUUGAGUUUCAAGAGGGGCCCGCUGCAUUGCGAUGUGUGGCCAAUUCCACCAACAAAUUCGUGGCUUCGAGUGGGAGGAAACCAGAGGCAGGCAAAACCCCACCACAACACACGAGCAGGUUACACUGAAAGCUCCACACAGAUUGAUUCAGGAAUUACAUUUUAUAAUGGCAACCGAGCAUGACAAACAUCCCAUUAAAAUACCGCUUGAGAAGGAAAAUGCAAUCAAUUUGAAAAAUACACCGGUGAAGCUGAGCCUUUCGUGUUUGACGCGUGAUUGUGAUAUUAAACCACAAAUUGGAACGCGCACUUUUGUAUACCAAUGAAUAUAUUUAUUAAAAAGAUCGAUAACCUUAUGAACAUACCGACUGUUAACAAACGUAUGUAGAAUGUAGCAUAAAUGCUUGCACUAUGCCUAACUCACAUAUGCGUCGUGUGGAAGCAGGGCUGUGUAAUUUAAUAACUUAAUGCUUUCAUACAUUAUAAAUGUUAAUAGCCCCUAGCCAACAAGGAAAUGGAAAUGGUUUUUGUUGUUGCAAAGACCUUUAUGUCAUUUUUUGACAUGCAAUAAUUGUAGGCAAUUACCGUGGUAGUAGCGUAGCGAUGAUACAGUGGUUAGAGCCAAGCGUUAUAAACCCAGCCACCUGAGUUCGAUUUUAGGCCAAGGUGAGUUUUAGUGGCGAAUGACACCUGAAGCGGUACUGAAGCCUCUAUCUUCACCAUCCAUCGUGUGACCAGCGUGGUGAAGUAUGGUCAAAAAAGCCCCAUGAUCAACAUAUCAUUGAGAGGCUUGCAACCAGCAAGGCAGUGACAGAGGGACUAUCAAUAAUGCAUUGUUUCCAUGGUGUAACGAUGGUACUGUACUUACACAUUACCACGUUAAUUAAAACAAUAUAAUACCAUCA